rnacentral:rRNA from 1 species
UCAGUCGACUCCUACGGGAGGCAGCAGUGGGGAAUAUUGCACAAUGGGGGAAACCCUGAUGCAGCCAUGCCGCGUGUGUGAAGAAGGCCUUCGGGUUGUAAAGCACUUUCAGUAGGGAGGAAGGUAGUGUAGUUAACACCUGCAUUAUUUGACGUUACCUACAGAAGAAGCACCGGCUAACUCCGUGCCAGCAGCCGCGGUAAUACGGAGGGUGCGAGCGUUAAUCGGAAUUACUGGGCGUAAAGCGCAUGCAGGCGGCCUGUUAAGUCAGAUGUGAAAGCCCCGGGGCUUAACCUCGGAAUUGCAUUUGAAACUGGCAGGCUAGAGUCUUGUAGAGGGGGUAGAAUUUCAGGUGUAGCGGUGAAAUGCGUAGAGAUCUGAAGGAAUACCAGUGGCGAAGGCGGCCCCCUGGACAAAGACUGACGCUCAGAUGCGAAAGCGUGGGGAGCAAACAGGAUUAGAUACCCUGGUAG